AGAGUUUGAUCCUGGCUCAGGAUGAACGCUGGCGGCGUGCCUAAUGCAUGUAAGUCGCGCGCACUGCCCUUCGGGGCAGUGAGUGGCGGACGGCUGAGGAACACGUGGGUAACCUGCCCUGCUGUGGGGGACAACGCCGCGAAAGCGGUGCUAAUCCCGCAUACGCUCCCUUCACGAGUAUGGGGGGAGGAAAGCGCUUCGGCGCGCGGUAGGAGGGGCCUGCGGCCCAUCAGGUAGUUGGCGGGGUAACGGCCCACCAAGCCGGUGACGGGUCCCUGGUCUGAGAGGACGACCAGGCAGACUGGGACUGAGACACGGCCCAGACUCCUACGGGAGGCAGCAGCAAGGAAUUUUCCCCACUGGGCGCAAGCCUGGGGGAGCAACGCCGCGUGGAGGACGACGGCCUUCGGGUUGUAAACUCCUUUUCGGGGGGAAGAUACAGACGGUACCCCCGGAAUAAGCCCCGGCUAACUUCGUGCCAGCCGCCGCGGUAAUUC
rnacentral:rRNA from 1 species